rnacentral:rRNA from 1 species
CCAACGGGAGGCAGCAGUGGGGAAUAUUGGGCAAUGGGCGCAAGCCUGACCCAGCAACGCCGCGUGAGGGAAGAAGGCUUUCGGGUUGUAAACCUCUAUCCUUGGUGACGAAACAAAUGACGGUAGCCAAGAAGGAAGCCCCGGCUAACUACGUGCCAGCAGCCGCGGUAAUACGUAGGGGGCGAGCGUUGUCCGGAAUUACUGGGCGUAAAGGGUGCGUAGGUGGCCUUUUAAGUUGGAUGUGAAAUACCCGGGCUUAACUUGGGGGGUGCAUCUAAUACUGGAGGGCUAGAGUGCAGGAGAGGGAAGCGGAAUUCCUAGUGUAGCGGUGAAAUGCGUAGAUAUUAGGAGGAACACCAGUGGCGAAGGCGGCUUUCUGGACUGUAACUGACACUGAGGCACGAAAGCGUGGGGAGCAAACA